GAGGUCCUUCAAGGACCAGAGGAAUCCCCUUCUGCCUUUUUGGAGCGUCUGUUGGAAGCAUACCGUACGUAUACUCCAAUCGAUCCAGACACCCCUGCAAAUUGUCAGGCAAUAAAUUUGGCAUUUGUUACUCAGUCGGCCCCAGACAUUAGAAAGAAGUUGCAAAGACUAGAAGGAUUUGAGGGAGAGAAUAGAGAAAAGUUGAUGAGUGUAGCCAUGAAGGGGUUUAACAAUAGAGAUCCUCCGGCAAAGAGGACGGACAAGAGGCUGGGAAAAGCGAUCAUAGCCGCCUUGGCUGAUGGAGGAUUUGUCCAGAAAAAAAGACUCAAAAAUAAGGGAAGGAUUUGACCCCUAUUAGGGAAAGAUCAAUGUGCCUAUUGUAAGGAAAAGGGCCAUUUUAAGAAGGACUGUGAAAAGCUAAAAAGAAAAAAAAGGAGGCCCAAAAGGAAAAAGGUGGAAUCCUCUUAGUAGAUGAAGAAGAUUGACAGGGCCAAGGCUCAUGGCCGCUCAACCCUAGUAAGCCUAUGGUGACUUUGGAGAUAGGGGGAACAGAUGUUCAGUUCCUUGUGGACACUGGUGCGGCCCACUCUGUCUUGAAGACCCUCCUUUGGACCCCUCACUUCCUCAAAAACCUCCAUUACUGGAGCCACUGGGAAAGUGGCCUCCUACCCUUGGACCACUAGAUGGACUGUGAAUCUAGGAAAAGGCACCAUCUCCCAUUCCUUCUUAGUUAUCCCUGAGUGCCCGUACCUGUUGCUGGGAAGAGACUUGCUAUGAAAGUUGGGGGCUAUUAUUUCCUUUGAGCCUGAAAAGAGGGACCUUUGAGCUUAAACCACCCUCUGCCAUUAUGGUGACAGUUCCCCUAGAAGAUGAAUUUAGAUUGCUAAAGGAGGGCACAGAGCCCCCCGAACAAAAAUGGGACUACCUUCAGAAAAAGUUUCCCAGGGUAUGGGCUGAAACCAAUCCACUUGGGCUGGCCAACCACCAUGCCCCGGUGGUGGUCCAGUUGCUGGCCUCUGGUGCCCCCGUCUGUGUGUGACAAUACCCCCUCCGGCUGGAGGCCAAGGUGGGAAUCUCUAAGCACAUCCACCAACUCCGAGAGGCUGGCAUCUUGGUCCCUUGCCGGUCAGCCUGGAAUACACCCCUGCUUCCUGUAAGGAAGCCUGGCACUUCAGACUUCAGACCAGUACAGGAUUUGUGGGAGGUGAACAGCUGGGUGGAGACCAUCCACCCAACAGUACCAAACCCCUAUACUCUGCUGAGUCUCAUCCCUCCUGCCCAUGUGUGGUAUUCAGUACUAGACCUCAAAGAUGCAUUUUUCAGCAUACCUCUGGCACCCGUGAGUCAACCCCUCUUUGCCUUCAAAUGGACAGACCCAGACACUGGGACUACUGGACAGCAGACAUGGACCCAGCUGCCACAGAGAUUCAAGAACUCUCCCACUCUGUUUGGGGAAGCUCUCAGCAAAGAUUUACGAGAGGUUUGACUCCAAGACCCUUGAACCCCGCUGGAAGGGACCAUUUCCCGUCGUCCUGGUGAAGUGAAGGUAGCUGGACACUCUGCCUGGAUCCACCGCAGCCAUUUAAAGGCGGCACCCCCAGAGGAAGCGACGUCAACAUGGCAGACUGACCGGAACACGAAGGACCCCCUCAAGAUAAGACUGAUCAAAGACUAGUUUGGACAAUAUGGGGGUUCUUGGGGCUACUGUUCUUACCAGCCCUGAUGGAAGGGGGAUCUGGAUGCCAGCUGGUGCUGUCCAGCCACACUCCCCAGAACUGGACUUCGUCCCUAAAAAAUGCCUUAAUGGGAGCUUACAUUGCCACCAUUACUACUGAUAGACAGCCCCAUUUUAUUAUAGACCUGUGUGCUCUGGGGCUUCCAAUCACUAGUGGUGGGGGGGCUGGUUCAAAGGGUAAAGUUUCAUCCGGAAAGAUGGGUAAAGAGGGCCACGGAAGGAGGUGUGGAACAAAUUAUAAGUUGGAAAAAAACCUCCAAGACAUAGAUAUUUAUGCCUGCCCCAUAGGAAAAAAUAAAAGGUGCGAUGGGGGACCAGGAAACCACUGUCAUCAUUGGGGUUGCGAAUCUAUUGCCCCGUGGAAAAAUGAUGAUGCGUAUCUGGCCUUGGAACAACAAACACCAAGUGGUUCAUGUUCCAAAGGAAAAUAUAAUCCCAUCAAGCUAACCUUAAAACAACGGCAGAAUCCAUAUAAAGAUUGGGAAAAAGGCAAAUCCUGGAUGGUGGCACUCUAUGUGGGAGGAAAGGACCCUAUGACUGACCUCCUCAUCCAGUGUAGCCCAGUAAUAGUACUGCCUAAACCGGUACGCAACAUCUAUAGGGUCUCUGGCCCCCAAGAAAAAAAAAGGCAAAAGGAACCUAUAAUGUGUCAUUAGCUGCUCCCGAAUCUCCGAUCCAACCAUACCUAAAAUCCCUGGAUGCCAUGUACACCCUGUUAAAUGAGUCUAGCUCCAAUCUUACUCAAGGGUGUUGGCUGUGUUUUAGUCCACAUCCCCCGUAUUAUGUAGGGUUGGCAGUAAACGGCACCUUCUUGGAAGCGGACCAGGAUGAGUGUGAUUGGAAACAAGUGAGGUUGUCAAUUGGGGAUAUAAAAGGAAAAGGGUUAUGUGUUAAAAAUCCAAGUGUUACAUCUUCUUAUCUGGACAGUAUAUGUUCUUAUCAGACACCCACCAUCAGUAAUGAAAAAUAUUUAAAAGCUGGAAACAAUGCAUGGUGGGCGUGUACAAAUGGUAUAACUCCCUGUUUAUCCAUGACAGUCCUCAAUCAGGAACUUGAGGUAUGUAUAAUGGUCCAUAUUUUACCCCAAGUCACUAUAUUUGGAGAAGACCAGGGCUGGGAAUACCUAGCUAAGAGAGCACACACCCGAGAGAAGCGCCACCCAGCACUGAUCCCUGUGUUAACUGCAGCAGGCAUUUAGGGAUCAGUGGCUCUGGGCGUGACCUCAAUAGGACUGCAAGACUCUAAUUUCAAGACCCUUGCCCAACAGGUAAAAAUAGACUUAGGUCUACUUACCGAGUCAGUGUCUCAUUUGGAAAAACAGGUUGAUCCUCUGGCUGAGAUGGUCCUUCAAAACUGCCGAGGACUUGACCUCGGGUUUAUGAAAGAGGGAGGGCUAUGUGCAGCCCUAGGAGAGCAAUGUUGCUAUUAUGCUAAUAAAUCUGGAAUAAUAAGAGAAACCCUGGCCACUGUAAAUAAACAUAUACAAGAAAAUUAUAAUAGAUUGAUAAAACAGGAGGGAUGGUUCCAGUCAAUGUUUAACUGGUCUUCCUGGAUGACUACCCUUGUUUCUGCCCUUGCUGGACCCCCGUUAAUCUUGUUACUAGCUUUGACUUUUGGCCCAUGCAUUAUUAAUAAGCUUAUGGCCUAGGUAAGGACCCGGAUAGGAUCCGUUCGCCUAAUGAUUCUGAAUCAACAGGCCAAAUAUCAUCCUUUAAGUGAGCUAGACAAGGAAGAGCGAAGAUGGAGACAAGAAUACCAAGAUAAUGCUGUAUAAGAUUACACAGCCACAGGAAAAAUCAGUGGGGAAUGUGAGACUGAACAACAGUUACUCCAUUUUGUAAUAGGGCCCCAACUUGUCUGCUUCUGUUACGGAUCACCAGGUAGACAUAGAGUUCCAGGGAUGUGCUUGUUAUUGUGCCAGGAAGGUCUGUUGUGUGCGUAGUGUUCCGUCAUGCUUGCCCAACUCCAUAUCUGAAUAUGCUAUCUUAAAAACAAUCUGUAAAAGGUCUGUUUUAUCCCUCUCCUCCACUUCUGUGUUUCUGCUUGCCAACUUCCCUCUAACAUCUCCUAUAAAAGGACCUCAGGCUCUGAGCCGGGCGCCUCUCUAAGCUUGGAGCUUGGAGAGUGCCGUCUGGCCAGACUAAUAAAGGUCUGUUUUACAACUUG